rnacentral:rRNA from 1 species
CAUGCAAGUCGAACGGUAACAGGAGAAAGCUUGCUUUCUUGCUGACGAGUGGCGGACGGGUGAGUAAUGCUUGGGAAUCUGGCUUAUGGAGGGGGAUAACGACGGGAAACUGUCGCUAAUACCGCGUAGAAUCGAGAGAUGAAAGUGUGGGACCGCAAGGCCACAUGCCAUGAGAUGAGCCCAAGUGGGAUUAGGUAGUUGGUGGGGUAAA